CAAUACCAUUUACAGCUUUGAUCGUCGCGCCAAAGCCCUGGUUAAAUACCCCGCGAGCUUUAGUUGUCCAGAACCAGAAAGCGGUCUUGAAGGCAAGAACCUGGUCUUGAGCAACUUUCUCUGGUGAAGCCAACAAGUCCUCCUUCAGGUCUCUGCCACAGGGACCAUAGUUAUAGUUCCAAGAGAGCUGGAUCGCACCACGACCAUAGUAGCCCUUUCCUGGUGCACAUGGGAAGUCUGUUUUGCUUGUGUCACAAUAUUCUCCCCUUGCGGCCUUGGCUGGUCCAUCGACUUCCUCAAUGUAGCACAUGACUGCAACAAGGUAUAAUCAAAUGAUUACAAAGCAAAAUCAUAUUGGUAAGCAUAUAAUAUCUGAGAAAGUUGAAAACUCGAGAGAAUAUUAAUUUACUUCUUUUGUUAGAUUAGCAAAAAGUUAUGGAGUUUUUAAUAAUCUAAGAGAACUACUUACAUUGAGUUUCGUGGGUGACGUGAGCGAAGAAGGCAGCGAUUUCGCGUUUGGAGAUGGAAGAACCAAAGCUAGGGUAGGAGUUAGCUGCAGCGAGGAAGGCGUCGUGAGUGUAGAAUCCUUUACCUUUGCAAUCACUACCAGUUGCUUGGUCAAUUAUAGAGUUAAAGAACUCUGGUGUCACGGUUCCUUCAAGUGAAACAGUAGGAUCAUUAUUUCCGCCACCGUUGCUCCUGCAAGGUCCUUCUUUGCAUCCCACGCCACAGUAAUCAUCGGUCGUACCACAGUAACCAUGUUGGCUGCAGCAUAAGCCAGAGGCGCAGCCGCAGUUCUGAGAGCUGACUGAUUUGGAUACGGUUAGGAUCAGGAAAAAGAGAGUUGUGAGGAAAAGGGCAAACUGUUCAUUGCGUGAUGUGGUUUUAGCGUGAUUCGCCAUUGUUUUUCUGUGUAUGUUUUGUCUGUGAGAGGCAGAUAGAUGUGUAUUCGCUUCGUGUUUUUAUAGUGGAGAAGUGAAAGACUAUGAUAGAUCCGUGAAGAAAACGUUUUUUUGUGAUUUCUAAGUCAAUAUCAAUACCACGUAAACAUUUUAGUUCUAGCCCAUUCGUCACGUCACGUUACGUAGAGAAAUUUCCAAACAAAUAUCGAUACAUUUUCGUUUGAAUUUUCAAAUAUUCGUUAAAGCUUUUGUGGUUACGAUAGCUCCGGGAACCUAUCCAUCCCUUCUAGCAAUUAUUAUACCAUUUCUCAAGCUUAAUCCCUAGGUUGUGUUGUCUACUUAGUAUGGAAAGAAAGAAUCUUGAGUAUUUUCAAGUGUGUCAAAUGGACAAUUAUUGCAAUUUGAAGGGCCAUUAAUUAGGAACAAAGUAUAAUCAAAUUGAUACCUCUUCCACCGUAAAAUUAAUCAGGAACGAAUUAUAAUCAAAUUGAUACCUCUUCCACGUUGCCUCCGAGAUCGCCAAGCAUCGCGAUUGCCUCUCACAACGCAACUGGAAUUGGAAUUUUAUUUUUGCAUGUGUUUCGUUUCAUAUUAAUAGUAUUGCAUUUUUUUUUUCGUUACACUGUCGUGGGGAUAAAUUUUUGUGUCAUUGGAAAAAUCCGAACUACUUUUUAGAAGAGUCAAUUGUUAACCCAAAAAUAUACGUAAGAAUUAAGUUUUUUUUUUUUUUUAAUUGAAAAUAUUCGCCAAUUUGAAGAACAAUUGAAAUAUGGUUGUACUUUCUUUUAAUACAGUUUCAAUGGGUAGAAGGUUGUAGUCAGUUGGUUAUACUAGUCGCAUGUUGUGUGAUAACAACACAAAUUUAAAUUCAUCAAUAGACGUGUGAAAAAGGUCACAGUUGUUGCCAAAAAGGAAAAGUCAAAGAAUAUAGAAGCUGAUCUCAAUCUUAGUUAACUUUCGGUUUGGUGAUAUGUAUAUAAUCUACAAAAUCUUAUUACAUGGGUAAGAAAUAAAAAUCCCAACAAAAAGGAAUGAAUAUAUGAAUUUAUGAUGUUGAUCUUCUCUUGAAUAUUAUAAUUAGGUUCUUACAAGGAAUGCUUAUUUAUUCCAGCCAUUUAAAAAUCUUAAAAAAUAUUUUGAGUACUUGUAAAAACACGUGAAUUACGGUAGCCAAUAAAACAUUUUUUUUUUGUUGAGAAGAAUAUAUAUAUAUAUAUUUGUUUCUUUUUUUAAGUAAAAAAAUAUAUAUAUAAGAAGAUAAGUAAAUAGUACUUCUUUAUAGAAACAGGACGUACGGUUGUAAAAUCAUUCACUUGUUUUUUUUUUUUUUUUUUGACCAAAGGCUAUAUCAUUAACUUGUUUAAGACAAUUGGUAAGUAUAUGAGCGGUUAAACCUCCAAUCACAAACCUCCAAUUCUGAUCCGAGGGAUUUGAAGAGAAUUUUCAUUUUACUUCUUCCUUGGCAAGAUAUUUUUUUCCUCGAAAGUUUACUUUUCCAGUCCAAAAUGUUUAUCUUUGGGAUAUUUGCGAAGCAAUUACAAGGACUCAGUCAAAAACUCCUAGAGUGUAAGAGUCAAUACCCUAAACAGAUGAACUUUAAAGCCAACUCUCUUGAAUAAAUGCCCAUGUAAUUCCAAUAAGUUUCAUAUACUGUUUUUACCGAAAAAAAGUUUCUUAAACUGUGUUUGUGUUUUUAGUUAGAGAGUUAUAUGUUUUGGUUGGAGGACUCCUUAUGUUGCUUUCAAGGCGAUCCAGCUCAUAUUUCUCAGUUGAACUAGACCCCGAGACUAUUCUUUGCUCAUAAUUGGUGUUGGUUACCGUACGUUCUCCUUUUGCAGCAUGGUUCAUUAAAUUCAGAGCUCAAUCGACCCAUUUAGUUAAAUUAAUUCGUUCAUCGUUACAUUUUUAAUACAACAUUAAUAUUACAUGAUAUAUUUUUCCUCAUCAUCUUAUGUGAUCUCUUAUUCUUAUCUUUCGGAUGGAUAGUGAGUAAACUUUAACAAGAGAGGUUAUCUCCAGGUUCGACUCCAAGCUUGCCACAGUAGUCUCGGAAGUAACCGAUCCUCUUGUUGACAGUUGCUGAAUUUCCUCCGUUACACUCCAUACCAUUUAUAGCUCUGAUCGUGGCGCCAAAGCCCUGGUUAAAUUUCCCGCGAACGUUAGUAGUCCAGAACCAGAAAGCGGUUUUGAAGGCAAGAGCCGGGUCUUGAGCCACUUUCUCUGGGGAAGCCAAUAGGUUCUCGCUUAGGUCUCUGCCACAGAGGCCGUAGUUGUAGUUCCAAGAGAGCUGGAUCGGACCACGACCGUAGUAACCCUUUCCCUGUGCACAUGGGAAGUCUUUGUUCUCUCUGUCGCAAUAGUCUUCGGCUUUGGCUGGUCCAUCAAUUUCCUCAAUGUAGCACAUGACUGCAACGAG
rnacentral:lncRNA from 1 species